rnacentral:rRNA from 1 species
UUGAACGCUGGCGGCAUGCUUUACACAUGCAAGUCGAACGGCAGCGGGGGCUUCGGCCUGCCGGCGAGUGGCGAACGGGUGAGUAAUGCAUGGGAAUCUGCCUGAUAGUGGGGGACAACGCGGGGAAACUCGCGCUAAUACCGCAUACGCCCUACGGGGGAAAGAGGGGGAUCUUCGGACCUCUUGCUAUCAGAUGAGCCCAUGUCGGAUUAGCUAGUUGGUAGGGUAAAGGCCUACCAAGGCGACGAUCCGUAGCUGGUCUGAGAGGACGAUCAGCCACACUGGGACUGAGACACGGCCCAGACUCCUACGGGAGGCAGCAGUGGGGAAUAUUGGACAAUGGGGGCAACCCUGAUCCAGCAAUACCGCGUGUGUGAAGAAGGCCUGCGGGUUGUAAAGCACUUUCAGUUGGAAAGAAAAGCCUGAGGCUAAUAUCCUUGGGUCUUGACGUUACCAACAGAAGAAGCACCGGCUAACUCCGU